AGUGACUUCCAUACUUAUGUCGCCGAUUAGUAGUAUCUUCUGCAAAAGGUUGCUCGUAGUGACUUCCAUACUUAUGUCGCCGAUCAGUAGUAUCUUCUGCAAAAGGUUGCUCGUAGUGACUUCCAUACUUAUGUCGCCGAUCAGUAGUAUCUUCUGCAAAAGGUUGCUCGUAGGGCCACGCUUGACUAUCAGUAGUAUCUUCUGCAAAAGGUUGCUCGUAGUGACUUCCAUACUUAUGUCGCCGAUCAGUAGUAUCUUCUGCAAAAGGUUGCUCGUAGUGACUUCCAUACUUAUGUCGCCGAUCAGUAGUAUCUUCUGCAAAAGGUUGCUCGUAGGGCCACGCUUGACUAUCAGUAGUAUCUUCUGCAAAAGGUUGCUCAUAGGGCCUUCCGUAAGACGGUCGAGUAUCUGCUUCUACAAAAGGUUGUUCAUAGCGCCUUCCGUAUAAAAAUUUUCAACGAACAUAAAAUUUUUUGAAAUCUAAAUUAAUUCUACAAUAAAAUAAAAUUUUU
rnacentral:lncRNA from 1 species